UGUUCGCGUUCCCUUUUCUAGUCUGAAGGCUUAUGGUGUUUUCGCUCUUUGGACUGGCACUGCCUUUAUGAGCUGUAAUAUCACCUUGAAGGUCUGCAGUUUCCUUGCUGAAACCAUGGAGACCAAGAACCCACCAGGAGGAAUGAACAACUCGACGCCCACUUUAAGAGCUGUAACACUCACCGGGAAGGUCUGUAGUUUCACUCCUGAGUCAGAGAGACCAGGAACCCACCAGAGGGAACAAACUUCCGACACGCCGACUUUAAGGAUUGUAACACUCACAGGGAGAGUCUGCGGCUUCAUUCUUGAAGUCAGACCAAGAACGUACCAAAUUCUGGACACGCUGGAUUCAAGUGAUUCUUCUGCUUCAGGCUCCGGAGUAGCUGGGGUUACAGGCACCCACCACGCCCGGGAAAUUGGCAACUGAUGAAGGGAAGUGUAUCAGUCCGUUUUCAUGCU
rnacentral:lncRNA from 1 species